GUCUUUUUAUUAAGGCAGAUGGUGAAUGCCUUGGGGCAAGAAGCCGACGAAGGACGUGUGAGCCUGCGAUAAGCCUCGGUAAGCUGGCAAAAAGCGCUAUAGCCGGGGAUUUCCGAAUGGGGUAACCCACCGUUUUACGGUGCACUUAAGCCAAAUUCCCGCCUUUCGGUGGGAUACUAACUUAAGCUGCGGGAACUCAGCGAAGUGAAACAUCUCAGUAGCUGGAGGAAAAGAAAGAGAAGUCCGCUUUUAGCGGACGGUUCUCCAAACGCUUGGCGUUUGGAGAAUCUCGAUCCCCUCAGUAGCGGCGAGCGAAAGGGGGUUAGUCCAAACCCUUGAUUUUUCAAGGGGGUUGUGGGACCCGCGCAAUGCCUGACAAAAAGUAGGAGAAUGCUCUGGAAAGGGCGACCACAGAGGGUGAUAGUCCCGUAACCGAAACUUUUAAGUCAGCUAGCGGGCAUCCCGAGUACCACGGGAUAGGUGAAAGCCUGUGGGAAGCUAGCCAAACCACUGGNNGUGAACCAGUACCGUGAGGGAAAGGUGAAAAGAACCCCGGUGAGGGGAGUGAAAUAGAACCUAAAACCAUUUGCUGACAAGCAGACGGAGGUCGCCUUAGGCGACUGACGUCGUGCCUAUUGAAGAAUGACCCGAGGAGUUGUCGCCACUUUUGAGUUUAAGCAAGUCAAGCUUGUGUAAGCGUAGGGAAACCUAGUGCUAACUGCGCGUUUAAAAAGUGGUGGCAGACCCGAAGCCGAGUGAUCUAACCAUGGGCAGGGUGAACCCCGCCGAAAGGCGGGGGGAGGCCCGAACCGGUGUCUGGUACAAAAGGCUCGGAUGACCUGUGGUUAGGGGUAAUAUGCCAAUCGAACUCGGUGAUAGCUGGUUCUCCCCGAAAUGCAUUUAGGUGCAGCCUUGUAAAGUAGCGACGGGGGUAGAGCUACUGGAAGGGAUGUGGAGCCCGUGAGGGUAUCCCUCCCUACCAAACUCCGAAUACCGUCGUUUAAUUUACAGGAGUGAGCAGGCGGGAGCAAGUUCCGUCGUGCUAAAGGGAAACAACCCAGACCAUCGGCUAAGGUCCCUAAGUCGGAUUUAAGUGGGAAAGGUAGUGAAGUGACUGAGACACCCAGAAGGUAGGCCCAGAAGCAGCCAUCCUUGAAAGAGUGCGUAACAGCUCACUGGCUAAGUCACUUUGCGCCUAAAAUGUAACGGGGCUAAAAUCCGCACCGAAGCUGUGGCUCCGCCUUUGGCGGGGGGUAGGGGAGCGUUCCUGUAGCGCUGAAGUCACACCGUAAGGUGUGGUGGAGUAGCAGGAAGUGAGAAUCUCGGGAUGAGUAGCGUCGUUGGGUGAGAAUCCCAACCGCCUGAUGACUAAGGUUUCCUCCGCAAUGGUCGUCAUCGGAGGGUUAGUCGGCCCCUAAGCCGAGGGCGAAAGCCGUAGGUGAUGGGAAACGGGUUAAUAUUCCGGCACUUUCGUGGAGUCUCGAUGGGGUGACGCUUUCCAAAGUUACGAGCGUUGAGUGGCGUUUGGACGUUCUGCCCGUUUGAGGUGUGUGGUAGGAAAAUCCGCCACGCUUAAAACCAAGACGGGACGAAGAGUUCGCUACGGCGGGCAAUUCGUGAGGAUGGAGAGCCAAGAAAAACCUCUAAGGAUAGCUCCACGGAAUCCGUACCGCAAACCGACACAGGUAGUCUGGCUGAGAAGGCUAAGGCGAGCGAGUAAACCUUCCUUGAGGAACUCGGCAAAUUGGCCCCGUAACUUUGGGAGAAGGGGUGCCCUGUACCGCGAGGUCCAGGGUCGCAGUGACAAGGCUCAAGCGGCUGUUUAACAAAAACACAGGUCUCCGCUCAACCCGAAAGGGGAUGUAUGGGGGCUGACGCCUGCCCGGUGCCCGUCGGUUAAGGGGAGGGCUGAUCUUGUGCUUCGCACAAGAAGUUUCAAGUUAUCAAGUCACCAAUUAUCAAGUAUUUGUUAAUUGGAUAGAUGGGUAUUUGGAAUUUCUCGCGCGGAGCGCGAGUGAGGCUCAAACUUAAGCCCGGGUGAACGGCGGCCGUAACUAUGACGGUCCUAAGGUAGCGAAGUUCCUUGUCGGGUAAGUUCCGACGUGCAUGAACGGCGUAACGACUGGAGCACUGUCUCAAGGACGGACUCGGUGAAAUUGAAAUGGCUGUGAAGAUGCGCCUUACCCGCAGCAGGACAAAAAGACCCCGUGGAGCUUUACUGUAGCUUGACAUUGAGUUUGAAACUAAAGCUUGUGUAGCGUAGGAGGGAGCGGUUCGCCGCGCCAAUGAAACACCUCCCGGCUAUAUUUUCAACCCUUACGUUGGCCGUUACCCGGUCGACGGACAGUGUCUGGUGGGCAGUUUAACUGGGGCGGUUGCCUCGCAAAAGGUAACCGAGGCGCCCAAAGGUCGGCUUAGUCCCGAUGGACACGGGACUGUAAGUGUAAAGGCAUAAGCGGGCUUGACUGCGAGACCGACGGGUCGAGCAGGUGCGAAAGCAGGGCUUAGUGACCUGCACACCUCAAGUGGCGGAGUGUGCAACAACGGAUAAAAGCUACCCCGGGGAUAACAGGCUGGUCUCCCCCAAGAGUCCAUAUCGACGGGGAGGUUCGGCACCUCGAUGUCGGCUCGUCCUAUCCUGGGGCUGGAGAAGGUCCCAAGGGUUUGGCUGUUCGCCAAUUAAAAGGGCACGUGAGCUGGGUUCAGAACGUCGUGAGACAGUUCGGUCUCUAUCCGCUGUGGGCGUAUAACUCCCUGAGGGAUUUUCCUCCUAGUACGAGAGGACCGGAGGGAGCCAACCUCUGGUGUACCGGUUGUCGGACCACCGGCAUAAGAUACGCCGGGUAGCUACGUUGGCAUGGGAUAAGCGCUGAAAGCAUCUAAGCGCGAAGCCCACCCCAAGAUGAGGGAUAGACCCCUGGAAGACUACCAGGUUGAUAGACGGCAGGUGUAAGACCGGUAACGGUUUCAGCCGAGCCGUACUAAUAGGUCGUUUGACUCUUCUUU
rnacentral:rRNA from 1 species